ACUCAAAGGAAUUGACGGGGGCCCGCACAAGCGGCGGAGCAUGUUGCUUAAUUCGACGCAACGCGAAGAACCUUACCAAGGUUUGACAUGGCCGGAAAAACAUCAGAGAUGGUGCGUCCUUCGGGGUCGGUCACAGGUGGUGCAUGGCUGUCGUCAGCUCGUGUCGUGAGAUGUUGGGUUAAGUCCCGCAACGAGCGCAACCCUCGUCCUAUGUUGCCAGCGGGUCAUGCCGGGGACUCAUGGGAGACUGCCGGGGUCAACUCGGAGGAAGGUGGGGAUGACGUCAAGUCAUCAUGCCCCUUAUGUCUUGGGCUGCAAACAUGCUACAAUGGCCGGUACAGAGGGCUGCGAGACCGCGAGGUUAAGCGAAUCCCGGAAAGCCGGUCUCAGUUCGGAUCGGGGUCUGCAACUCGGCCCCGUGAAGCUGGAGUCGCUAGUAAUCGCGGAUCAGCAACGCCGCGGUGAAUACGUUCCCGGGCCUUGCACACACCGCCCGU
rnacentral:rRNA from 1 species